UAAGGAAUAUUGGUCAAUGGACGCAAGUCUGAACCAGCCAUGCCGCGUGAAGGAUGAAGGUCCUCAGGAUUGUAAACUUCUUUUAUUUGGGACGAAAAAGGGAUAUUCUUAUCCACUUGACGGUACCAGAGGAAUAAGCACCGGCUAACUCCGUGCCAGCAGCCGCGGUAAUACGGAGGGUGCAAGCGUUAUCCGGAUUUACUGGGUUUAAAGGGUGCGUAGGCGGGUAGGUAAGUCAGUGGUGAAAUCUUCGGGCUUAACUCGGAAAUUGCCGUUGAUACUAUCUAUCUUGAAUAUCGUUGAGGUUUGCGGAAUAUGUCAUGUAGCGGUGAAAUGCUUAGAGAUGACAUAGAACACCUAUUGCGAAGGCAGCAGGCUAAACGAACAUUGACGCUGAGGCACGAAAGCGUGGGGAUCAAAC
rnacentral:rRNA from 1 species